ACGGGAGGCAGCAGUGGGGAAUAUUAGACAAUGGGCGCAAGCCUGAUCCAGCCAUGCCGCGUGAGUGAUGAAGGCCCUAGGGUUGUAAAGCUCUUUCAACGGGGAAGAUAAUGACGGUACCCGUAGAAGAAACCCCGGCUAACUUCGUGCCAGCACCCGCGGUAAUACGAAGGGGAGCUAGCGUUGUUCGGAAUUACUGGGCGUAAAGCGCACGUAGGCGGAUUGAUCAGUUGGGGGUGAAAUCCCGGGGCUCAUCCCCGGAACUGCCUUCAAUACUGUCUGUCUAGAGGUCGAGAGAGGUGAGUGGAAUCCCGAGUGUAGAGGUGAAAUUCGUAGAUAUUCGAGAGGAACACCAGUGGCGAAGGCGGCUCA
rnacentral:rRNA from 1 species